rnacentral:rRNA from 1 species
CCUACGGGAGGCAGCAGUGGGGAAUAUUGCACAAUGGGGGAAACUCUGAUGCAGCGACGCCGCGUGAGUGAAGAAGUUUUUCGGUAUGUAAAGCUCUAUCAGCAGGGAAGAAAAUGACGGUACCUGAUUAAGAAGCCCCGGCUAACUACGUGCCAGCAGCCGCGGUAAUACGUAGUGGGCAAGCGUUAUCCGGAUUUACUGGGUGUAAAGGGAGCGUAGACGGCAGCACAAGUCUGGAGUGAAAUGCCGGGGCUUAACCCCGGAACUGCUUUGGAAACUGUGCAGCUAGAGUGCAGGAGAGGUAAGUGGAAUUCCUAGUGUAGCGGUGAAAUGCGUAGAUAUUAGGAGGAACACCAGUGGCGAAGGCGACUUACUGGACUGUAACUGACGUUGAGGCUCGAAAGCGUGGGGAGCAAACAGGAUUAGAUACCCCUGUAGUC